GGUCAAUGAUGAGGUUUGGUAUUUUUAUCUGAAUCUAAAGCUGAUUUUAACAUUUAGCUCUAGAAUUACUCUGAGACCUG